rnacentral:rRNA from 1 species
AAUUUGAAAUCUAGCACCUGCGGUGCUCGAGUUGUAAUUUGGAGGGGUAUCUUCGGAAUCGGAACCUGCUCUAUGUUCCUUGGAACAGGACGUCGUGGAGGGUGAGAAUCCCGUGCACGGGUGGGUGUCCGUUUUCCAUGCGAAGUGCCUCCGACGAGUCGAGUUGUUUGGGAAUGCAGCUCAAAAUGGGUGGUAAAUUUCAUCUAAAGCUAAAUACAGGCGAGAGACCGAUAGCGCACAAGUAGAGUGAUCGAAAGAUGAAAAGCACUUUGAAAAGAGAGUUAAAAAGUACGUGAAAUUGUUGAAAGGGAAGCGCUUGAGAUCAAACUCGGCCGUCGGCGCCCAACCGUGCUUCUGUACGGUGCACUCGUCGGCGGCUGGGCCAGCAUCGGUUCCGAACCGCGUGGGAAACACGGAAGGGGAAUGUAGCUCGUGCUCGCGCACGAGUGUUAUAGACCCGGCCUGUCGAUGCCGCCAGUUGGGACCGAGGUCAGUGCGUCACCCUGGGUCACUGGGGUGGCAAAGAUGCUGGCGAAACGGUCUUAAG